AGCGAACGCUGGCGGCAGGCUUAACACAUGCAAGUCGAGCGGGCAUCCUUGUGGUGUCAGCGGCAGACGGGUGAGUAACGCGUGGGAACGUGCCCUUCGGCUCGGAAUAACUCAGGGAAACUUGAGCUAAUACCGGAUACGUGCGAGAGCAGAAAGGUUUAUCUGCCGAAGGAUCGGCCCGCGUCUGAUUAGCUAGUUGGUGAGGUUAUGGCUCACCAAGGCGACGAUCAGUAGCUGGUCUGAGAGGAUGAUCAGCCACACUGGGACUGAGACACGGCCCAGACUCCUACGGGAGGCAGCAGUGGGGAAUAUUGGACAAUGGGGGCAACCCUGAUCCAGCCAUGCCGCGUGAGUGAUGACGGCCUUAGGGUUGUAAAGCUCUUUUCUCCGGGACGAUAAUGACGGUACCGGAGGAAUAAGCCCCGGCUAACUUCGUG
rnacentral:rRNA from 1 species